UCUCUCCAUUUCUAUUCUCCAAGCUCUGUAACAAUGGCGAUUGAGUGAAGAAUGAGAGAUUUCGAGUGAGUUUUAUUAGCAACAGAUCCUUGUAAGAUAAAAUAGUGUGUCUUUAUGGUUGAUUUAACUUUAAUGGUGUUUUAGUGAAGACUUUCGAGCUUAAACUAGUAACUGUUGUUGAAAACCCUAGUUUUUGUACAAGAGAACGUCACAGUGUUUGUAAACAUAGUGAGGAAAUAUGUGAGAAGUUUUAGGGUUGAAGAAUCUGAUACAAAUAAGGUUUCAAGGAUGCCCAGGUGAAGUAUCAUCUUCCAUGCUAGCCUGGACGACUUCGGUUUCGAAAAUUUCCAUUGCAUAAAUGGUAAGGCUUUCUACGAAGGAAGAGCCAGAAGUUGCUAUUCCUCCUGCAAUGGAUGCUUUAUUAAGGAUACAUAUGAUUUGGAAAGUGACCAAGAUCAUGGUCCACCAAACUCUAGUGGCACAAUUUCAUCUCAACUUGUAGUGAAGCUUUGCAAACUGGAAGCUUGAUUGGAAAGCAGGGAGCCACGAUAAAAUCUUUUCAAGAAUCUUCCAACUGUAUUGUUCAAGUAAUUGGACCAGAUCUAUACGAGUUGGAAACUUAAGGGGCAGUGUACAUGUAUCAUGGGUUAAAAGAUGAGUCAGAGCUGCCACGUGUCCAAGAUGAGUCAGAGCUGCCACAUGUCAAAGAUGGCCCACGUCAUCAGAUGCCACAUGUGAUAUUUAACUGUGGUUAAGAUUCUUGAGGUAAAAGGGAGGGCAUUUUGGAGACAAUUAACACCGUUUUUUCCCCAGUCAUGACAAUUUUGUAAACCAAUUACAAAAGUAUGAUCAUUUUGUAAACGGAUUAUAAAAAGUAGGACCAUUUUGUAACUGGCCCAAAAAAUUCCAUCUACUUAGAAA